rnacentral:rRNA from 1 species
GUGUCAGCAGCCGCGGUAAGACGAACCGUACGAACGUUAUUCGGAAUCACUGGGCUUAAAGGGUGCGUAGGCGGCGCAGAAAGUUGGGUGUGAAAUCCCUCGGCUUAACCGAGGAAUUGCGCCCAAAACUACUGUGCUCGAGGGAGGUAGAGGUGAGCGGAACUUAGGGUGGAGCGGUGAAAUGCGUUGAUAUCCUAAGGAACACCGGUGGCGAAAGCGGCUCACUGGACCUCUUCUGACGCUGAGGCACGAAAGCUAGGGUAGCAAACGGGAUUAGAUACCCUUGUAGUCC